rnacentral:rRNA from 1 species
AUUGAACGCUGGCGGCAUGCCUUACACAUGCAAGUCGAACGGCAGCACGGGGGCAACCCUGGUGGCGAGUGGCGAACGGGUGGGUAAUACAUCGGAACGUGCCCGGUAGUGGGGGAUAGCUCGGCGAAAGCCGGAUUAAUACCGCACACGACCUGCGGGUGAAAGCGGGGGAUCGCAAGACCUCGCGCUAUCGGAGCGGCCGAUGUCAGAUUAGGUUGUUGGUGGGGUAAAGCCUACCAAGCCGACGAUCUGUAGCUGGUCUGAGAGGACGACCAGCCACACUGGGACUGAGACACGGCCCAGACUCCUACGGGAGGCAGCAGUGGGGAAUUUUGGACAAUGGGCGCAAGCCUGAUCCAG